GCCAUCCGCUACCUCCGCCGCACCACGCCGAUGGGCCACCAGCCUGGGACCACAGAGCCGCCUGCGCCACGGGAGGAUGAGGAAGAGCUGCAGUACGCCCAGCUGAGGUUCGCUGCCCCAGCCAGGCGCACGCCCUGACCCGCAGCCGGACGCGGUGACAGCCCCGACCCCAGAGCUCGUCCCUCCGUGCCCGAACCCCCCCGGCAUGGCGCUGUUGAACCCCCCCCAUCCCGCGGCGCUGGGGCGGCUGCACCCGCUUUGCGGCCAAGGACGAAAUAAAGAGGUUUGGGCUUCGGCGGCAGCAGCCUGGCUCGAUGGCGCGGUUGUGCCCAGCGUGUCAUAGAAUCAUGGAAUCAUAGAAUGGUUUGGGUGGGCAGGGACCUCACAGCCCACCCAGUCCCACCCCUGCCAUGGGCAGGGACCCCCUCCACCAGCCCAGCUUGCCCAAAGCCCCAUCCAACCUGGCCUUGAACACUGCCAGGGAGCCAGGGGCAGCCACAACCUCUCUGGGCAACCUGUGCCAGGGCCUCAGCACCCUCACAGGGAAGAAUUUCUGCCUCACAUCUCAUCUAAAUCGACCCUCCUUCAGCUGAAACCCAUUCCCCCUUG